UCGUAAGCCACCAGUGGGGAUUCUGCGCCAUUGGGCGAAGCCUGACGCAGCUAUGGUCAGCCUGCGGGAAAAGCUUACGAUCGUAAUUGCUUGCAGUACGACGAAUGACGUACUGCAGAAGAUGGUACGGACCAACUACGUGCAGCAGCCGCGGUGACACGUAGGCAUCAUCGUUGUCUGAAUUUAUUCGGCGUAAAGACCUCGUAGGCGGCUGAGUAAGUCAGGUGUGAAACUCUUGGGCUUAACCCAGAAGCGCCACCUCGAUACUGCUCUGACUUGAGUUCGGUAGGGGAGCAGGGAAUUCCUAGUGUAGCGGUGAAAUGCGCAGAUAUUAGGAGGAACACCGGUGGCGAAGGCGCUGCUCUGGGCCGAAACUGACGCUGAGGAGCGAAAGCGUGGGUAGCAAACAGGAUUAGAUACCCUGGUAGUCCACGCCGUAAACGUUGGGCACUAGGUGUGGGUUCCAACCAACGGAAUCCGCGCCGUCGCUAACGCAUUAAGUGCCCCGCCUGGGGAGUACGGCGGCAACGCUAAAACUCAAAGGAAUUGACGGGGGCCCGCACAAGCAGCGGAGCGUGUUGCUUAAUUCGAUGCAACGCGAAGAACCUUACCUGGGUUUGACAUGCUAGGAAAAGCUGUAGAGAUACGGUGUCCUUCGGGGCUUAGCACAGGUGGUGCAUGGCUGUCGUCAGCUCGUGUCGUGAGAUGUUGGGUUAAGUCCCGCAACGAGCGCAACCCUUAUUCUAUGUUGCCAGCACGUUAUGGUGGGGACUCGUAGGAGACUGCCGGGGUCAACUCGGAGGAAGGUGGGGACGACGUCAAGUCAUCAUGCCCCUUAUAUCCAGGGCUGCAAACACGCUACAAUGGCCGGUACAAAGGGCUGCAAGCAUGUGAGUGUGAGCGAAUCCCAUAAAGCCGGUCUCAGUUCGGAUUGUAGGCUGCAACUCGCCUGCAUGAAGCUGGAGUUGCUAGUAAUCCCGGAUCAGCACGCCGGGGUGAAUACGUUCCCGGGCCUUGUACACACCGCCCGUCACACCACGAAAGUUGGUCUUACCCGAAGUCGCCGGGCUAACCGCAAGGAAGCAAGCGCCGAAGUAGUCCGAUAUGACCCG
rnacentral:rRNA from 1 species